rnacentral:rRNA from 2 species
GAGUUUGAUCAUGGCUCAGAACGAACGCUGGCGGCAGGCUUAACACAUGCAAGUCGAGCGCACAGUUUACUGUGAGCGGCAGACGGGUGAGUAACGCGUGGGAAUCUACCUUAAGCUACGGGAUAACAGAGAGAAAUUUCUGCUAAUACCGUAUGUGGCCUAUGGGCGAAAGAUUUAUCGGCUUAAGAUGAGCCCGCGUUGGAUUAGCUAGUUGGUGGGGUAAAGGCCUACCAAGGCGACGAUCCAUAGCUGGUCUGAGAGGAUGAUCAGCCACACUGGGACUGAGACACGGCCCAGACUCCUACGGGAGGCAGCAGUGGGGAAUAUUGGACAAUGGGCGGAAGCCUGAUCCAGCCAUGCCGCGUGAGUGAAGAAGGCCUUAGGGUUGUAAAGCUCUUUCACCGGUGAAGAUAAUGACGGUAACCGGAGAAGAAGCCCCGGCUAACUUCGUGCCAGCAGCCGCGGUAAUACGAAGGGGGCUAGCGUUGUUCGGAUUUACUGGGCGUAAAGCGCGCGUAGGCGGAUAGAUAAGUCAGAGGUGAAAUCCCGGGGCUCAACCCCGGAAUUGCCUUUGAUACUGUUUAUCUUGAGUGCAGAAGAGGUAAGUGGAAUUCCGAGUGUAGAGGUGAAAUUCGUAGAUAUUCGGAGGAACACCAGUGGCGAACGCGGCUUACUGGUCUGCAACUGACGCUGA